rnacentral:rRNA from 1 species
CCUGUUAAGUCAGGCAACGAGCGAGACCCACGCCAACAGUUGCCAGCUCGUCCUCCGGGAUGGUGGGGACACUGUUGGGACCGCCUCUGCUAAAGAGGAGGAAGGAAUGGGCAACGGUAGGUCAGCAUGCCCCGAAUUAUCUGGGCUACACGCGGGCUACAAUGGGUGGGACAAUGGGUAUCGACACCGAAAGGUGAAGGCAAUCUCCUAAACCCAUCCGUAGUUCGGAUUGUGGGCUGCAACUCGCCCACAUGAAGCUGGAAUCUGUAGUAAUCGUGUCUCAAAAUGGCACGGUGAAUAUGUCCCUGCUCCUU